GAAGAUUUUUUUUAUAAUUGAUAAGAAAGACAACAUUGUUAAGAAAAUUGAGAGGAAAACAAAAUAACAUGCAAUAAUUUGAUGGAGAAUGGAAGAGUGGUUAUUAGUUCCUGCCUGCAGGGACUAUAAUGGAGGCCUCUUUCGUUAACUGGUGAUUAAUGCAAUUGCAAUGAGCGAAUCAGAAAUCAACAUUCACAAAUAUUUUUGCCUUGGCUAAUGUCAGGUGGGUUGCGUAUUAUUUAAGCAAAUUUUGUGGCAUUUAACGAUUGGCGUUAUUCACGGUCUGCAGAGGCUUGUGCGCUUCUCGACGGGAGAGAAUGCACAAGUCCAAAGUCAGUUGUAGGGGCCGCCGAAAUGAAAGUUUGCAGAGCGAAGACGGUAGAAAAACAUGGCCGGCAAAAGAGACCUGCAGAUUGAAAGCAACAUUUGGCGAGAUCGCAUGCAGUAUGCAUUCAAACUACACAGUUGUCUAUUAGGGUUUUCAUUUGCAAAUGAUAGGUGUGGCUGCCACUGGAGCAUGGACAGGUGGCGAUUGGGGUUUCAAUUUUUUUUUUUUUAAAUAAUAGAGGCUACAUUUUCUCAGUCAUUUUUUGCUCUGGUAUCAUCUUCACUUUGCUUUUGCGCUCCCCCUUAACCUUGUUUCAAGAUAAGUUGAUAACCCCAGGCUUCGUUGUUGAUCCUGCACCAGAAUUGGCCUUAGUGCAUUUAUCUCUCACACAAGUCCCUUGGUUCGAGUAUCGUCCGGUAAAUUUGUUGAUCAACAUCAUUCAAGUAACAUUUGGUUGUUAGGGUUAUAGCUAUCUUUGCAUGUUGGUUUCAAGUGGAGGAUCGUGGAAGACUUUAGGGCAUAGGGUAGAGCGUCAGCCCUAAUUAAAAAUCUUUGUUUCUUCUAGUUGGGUCAGUUGGCUCCUCAUCCUCAGCAGGUACCCAUUUCAAUUAGUUUUAAUUUAUUAUCAUAAUGCUUUGUUUCCUACUCUGUUAAUGACCAGCUUCUCUUUGUGGGUGGGUAUUCGAAAGAUGCUGCUAUUAAUGGUAGAUAGGAACAAUCCUCCCAAACCAAUCUUCUUUUUCUAGGGAUAGGGCAUAAAUACUCUGCAGGUUUAAAUUGACGUCUAUUUCAUCAUCGCUAGGGGUUGGAAUCUGCAAGUAAGAAACUAAAAGGUCAAGCAUUUAGUUUUCGCUAAAAUGGAAGGUCGUUGACAUUCCCACAUUCUCCAUACAUGGAAAUGAGAGCAUUCUUCAUAUAAAUGUCUGGUUUGUAUCACAUUUUGAUAAUGCAAGUCUCUUUUUCAAUAAUUUUUUGUGCUAAAAUAAAACCUUAAAAUUGUUUCAUUCCAUAGCUAAAGUUCACAUUGCAUAUCAUUUGUUUUGUUUGUCAAAAUAUUUGUUCUGUAAACAUCAUCAAAAGAUAAAAUGUGAAAGCCUAUUGGUUUUAUAUUCAUCUUUUGUGCGUCUUCCCUAAACUAGUUAAAAACUGUGUAAUUAUGCGUAUGCCUCACGCCUGAUGUGUUUUCGGCAUAUGUGUUUUAUAUGAAUACCCUUCUAAUGUUUACUUUGCCUUCUUACAUGUAUUUAUAGGUUUGUUUCAUGAUUGAUGUGUUUUCAGCAUGUCUACUCUAUGUGUACCUUCUCAUGUAUGCUUUGUAUCUUACAUGUUUUUACAUGCAUGACUGAGUAGGAUACCUCCACAACCUGAUCGUGUUUGGCAGUUUCUUCUCCUAUUUUCAAAUCCAGAUCUUUGAAUGCAGAGGCUCAAAACAGUCACAAAAACACAAUCAGAAAGCCCAGAAAGCCUACAGAGAAGCUCAGAGCAGCCAAAAAAGUCUACAAAGAAAUUGAAUGAGAAAAGGCAAAUGAAAUUAAAUAUUUCAUUACCACUGUACUAGUUUUGUACAUAGUUAAUUGACAAACAAUGAUCAGGACGAGUUCUUUCAAUUUAAAUUCCACGUAAAUCAAUUAACAAUGCUCAAGGAAUAUAUGUCAAUACAUAUACAUAUUUCCUCUUUUUGCUUUGUAUUGCAGUGUUCUGUUUAAGCACCCAAUUAAUCAUUUCUUGCUCAGUUUUGUUC